rnacentral:rRNA from 1 species
UACGGAGGGUGCAAGCGUUAUCCGGAUUCACUGGGUUUAAAGGGUGCGUAGGCGGGCAGGUAAGUCCGUGGUGAAAUCUCUGAGCUUAACUCAGAAACUGCCAUGGAUACUAUUUGUCUUGAAUAUUGUGGAGGUGAGCGGAAUAUGUCAUGUAGCGGUGAAAUGCUUAGAUAUGACAUAGAACACCAAUUGCGAAGGCAGCUCACUACUCAAUCAUUGACGCUGAGGCACGAAAGCGUGGGGAUCAAACAGG